rnacentral:rRNA from 1 species
CCCGCUGAACUUAAGCAUAUCACUAAGCGGAGGAAAAGAAAUUAACUAAGAUUGCCUCAGUAACGGCGAGUGAAGCGGCAAGAGCCCAAAAUGUAAAUCUUCACCCUGCGGGUGACGAAUUGUAAUCUAAAGAUGGUUCUCUCACCGGGUGGUGGCGCAGAAGUGCCUUAGAACGGGCCGCCAGAGAGGGUGACAGCCCCGUAUGUGGUGCCACUACCUAACGAGAGGGUUAUCGAAGAGUCGGGUUGUUUUGUAUUGCAGCCCUAAGUGGGAGAUAAACUUCUUCUAAGGCUAAAUAUCUAUGGGAAACCGAUAGCGAACAAGUACUGUGAAGGAAAGAUGAAAAGAACUUUGAAAAGAGAGUCAAAAGACUUGAAAUCGUUGAGAAGGAAGCGGUAGAAAUUUAUUCUUCGGCGGAGGGCGGUGGCGGCUGCCUAACCAUUGACGGGCGUCAGUACUGUUAAAGGCUGUGCUCGGCACUUGGGGAAGCGGCCGUUUUGCUCUCCGUUGUGAGGCAAGAUGGGGUCGCGAUCCCGCAGAGGCUUCUCCAGCCUGGCCUGAUUCGUCAGGCAGCUGGGGUCUGCCGGCGGGGACGCGGCCUGAGGGUGCUUCGUGCGAUCUUGCCAAAAUGGUUUUUACCGACCCGUCUUGAAACACGG